ACAGGUGGUGCAUGGUUGUCGUCAGCUCGUGUCGUGAGAUGUUGGGUUAAGUCCCGCAACGAGCGCAACCCCUGUCCUCAGUAGCCAUCACGUUAUGGUGGGCACUCUGGGGAGACUGCCGGGGAUAACCCGGAGGAAGGUGGGGAUGACGUCAAAUCAUCAUGCCCCUUAUGAUUUGGGCUACACACGUGCUACAAUGGCGUAAACAAAGGGAAGCGAGCCCGCGAGGGGGAGCAAAUCCCAAAAAUAACGUCCCAGUUCGGAUUGCAGUCUGCAACUCGACUGCAUGAAGCUGGAAUCGCUAGUAAUCGCGAAUCAGAAUGUCGCGGUGAAUACGUUCCCGGGUCUUGUACACACCGCCCGUCACACCAUGGGAGUUGGUAACGCCCGAAGCCAGUGACCUAACCGAAAGGGAGGAGCUGUCGAAGGCGGGACCGAUAACUGGGGUGAAGUCGUAACAAGGUAGCCGUAUCGGAAGGUGCGGCUGGAUCACCUCCA
rnacentral:rRNA from 1 species